AGUGAACGCUGGCGGUAGGCCUAACACAUGCAAGUCGAACGGCAGCACAGUAAGAGCUUGCUCUUACGGGUGGCGAGUGGCGGACGGGUGAGGAAUACAUCGGACUCUACUUUUUCGUGGGGGAUAACGUAGGGAAACUUACGCUAAUACCGCAUACGACCUACGGGUGAAAGCAGGGGAUCUUCGGACCUUGCGCGAUUGAAUGAGCCGAUGUCGGAUUAGCUAGUUGGCGGGGUAAAGGCCCACCAAGGCGACGAUCCGUAGCUGGUCUGAGAGGAUGAUCAGCCACACUGGAACUGAGACACGGUCCAGACUCCUACGGGAGGCAGCAGUGGGGAAUAUUGGACAAUGGGCGCAAGCCUGAUCCAGCCAUACCGCGUGGGUGAAGAAGGCCUUCGGGUUGUAAAGCCCUUUUGUUGGGAAAGAAAAGCAGCAGGUUAAUACCCAGCGGUUCUGACGGUACCCAAAGAAUAAGCACCGGCUAACUUCGUG
rnacentral:rRNA from 1 species